UGGCCAGUAGAAUCAGGGAUUUCAACUAAAAUCCAUGACUCAUCCGGAUUAACCUCAAUAGGUUAAUCCGGGAUCGAGUCACGAUUUAUUGGGUUGGUAUAAAAAACAUGGAUUCACAUUGAGUUCAUUAUCCACGGUUUCCUGCGAUUCUCACGGUGAAGCUCGACCGAGGUUCUCCCUGAAACAGAGCGACGGAGGUGAGAAACAGAUGCUCGCAUCUGAGAAGAACACCUAAAACCGAGUUGAUUGAAGGUUGUAAACUUCAUAUCUAGGGUUUACCCUAUUUCCAAAUUAGACGAUCGACUCCAAGGUUUGAAGAACUAUAAUCGAAGCUUGAUUUAAG